rnacentral:rRNA from 1 species
AAGGUUAUUUCCGGUGGCGGAUGGGCAUGCGUCGCAUUAGUUAGUUGGCGGUGUAACGGACCACCAAGACGACGAUGCGUAGGGGUUCUGAGAGGAAGGUCCCCCACACUGGUACUGAGACACGGACCAGACUCCUACGGGAGGCAGCAGUGAGGAAUAUUGGUCAAUGGGCGGGAGCCUGAACCAGCCAAGUCGCGUGAGGGAUGACGGCCCUAUGGGUUGUAAACCUCUUUUGCCGGGGAGCAAAGUGCCGCACGUGUGCGGUUUGGAGAGUACCCGGAGAAAAAGCAUCGGCUAACUCCGUGCCAGCAGCCGCGGUAAUACGGAGGAUGCGAGCGUUAUCCGGAUUUAUUGGGUUUAAAGGGUGCGUAGGCGGACGCUUAAGUCAGCGGUAAAAUUGCGGGGCUCAACCUCGUCGAGCCGUUGAAACUGGGUGCCUUGAGUGGGCGAGAAGUACGCGGAAUGCGUGGUGUAGCGGUGAAAUGCAUAGAUAUCACGCAGAACUCCGAUUGCGAAGGCAGCGUACCGGCGCCCAACUGACGCUGAAGCACGAAGGCGUGGGUAUCGAACAGGAUUAGAUACCCUGGUAGUCCACGCAGUAAACGAUGAGUGCUAGUUGUCCGGGGCGAUUGAGUUCUGG